rnacentral:rRNA from 1 species
AAGUCCCGUAACGAGCGCAACCCUUGUCCUCAGUUACCAGCGGUUCGGCCGGGAACUCUGGGGAGACUGCCGGUGACAAACCGGAGGAAGGUGGGGAUGACGUCAAGUCAUCGUGGCCCUUACGGCCUGGGCUACACACGUGCUACAAUGGUCGGUACAGAGGGUUGCCAAGCCGCGAGGUGGAGCUAAUCCCAUAAAACCGAUCGUAGUCCGGAUCGCAGUCUGCAACUCGACUGCGUGAAGUCGGAAUCGCUAGUAAUCGCGAAUCAGAAUGUCGCGGUGAAUACGUUCCCGGGCCUU